GCUGCAGUGCCCUCAGGAAGGCUGAUUUCAUCCAGCAGCGCCUGUUCUCAGAGCCUCCUCACGCAGAAAUGCUUUUAUCUUGGUUGGCUUAACAACAAAACAGCAUAUCCAAAAACGUGGGGGGAUGCUAAAGAAGAACACUGCCCCUGCAUGGCACAACUCACAGCAACAUAGUUAAGCUUGCUAGCGUUCGUUGGUGGAUAUUCCUGCCCUGCAAUUCUUAUCUGGAUAACAGAAAGAGCCGUGUCUGAAUCAAGGAGAUAAGGAAGUUCUGCUGAGUCUCUGCACCAAGGAAACAGGAGGUCCUGCUUGGAAUCGAUCACUGAAUACGUAACACACUUCUGGGAAACUUCUGCAUAUGUAACACAAGUAAUGCAUAUAAACUGAAGAUCUUUUGUGUAAGCUGUGCAUAAUAGCAGGAUUACUCUUAUGCAUCCACUGUUGACAUCUGCUUUAUAACACUCCAACACGAGCCUUAGAGAGUUUCACACCCAACUGUCUUAGGGCACCAUGUGCUUUGAGUUCUCUGAUGCUUUUGUCUGAGACUUUGUAGCAGAAAUGCCAAGUCAUGGCCUGAAGCAGUGAUGGAGCACCUGGUGGGAAGGCAGGGCCAGCCCAGGGGAGCUCAGGUGCGAGCAAUGCACUGAGUAACCAGAAGGGCUGGAGCCAGGAACCUCCCCUUCCCACCCCUCAUUUAAGGGCUGGCAGUGGAGAUGAGAGUAGCUCUCUGGAGAUCCCUGCCUACCUGAGGUUUUCUGAAGCUGCUUCAGAACAUGUUAAGAAGAAAAGGCUCUGGAUCUCCCUUGCCCCGCAAGGUCCAUCAGAUUGGUGCUGCAAGGUAACAAAGGCCCUCUGGUGGAGAUCUUCCACCUCAAUGCAGAGACUGGGAUCAAAGCAGCUGUGGGACAUGCACAAAGGGAAUGUUUGGUGCAGGGUGGAGGGCCCACCAUCUCAGCAUAUAACUUUGAACACUUAAACUGUAAGAUAUUGUUCCACCUCCGUUGCAGCCCUGUGCCUGUUAGGCUGCCAGGCAGCCUUUUCUUUCCCAGAACACAGCAGAUGUCAGGCAGACCACAGCCACGAGACACCUGGGAGUGAAUGAGCUGAAAGCAAUGCUUCAGCAGCAGAGAAGAGCUUCUGUCAGCAUUCUGUGCCAGAAGUAAAAGCGGUGCUCCCCCGGCCUCUGUACUGCUGAGAAAAUGGACUGUGGUUUUUAUGGCCUCUGUGUUAAUUGUGUUCCCUUUGACGUGAGGAGACGCACACAGUGCAGCAUGCAUGGAUUUGAUGCUGCCUGUGGAAGCUGUGCUGCUGCUCAUGGGACUGAUACAGGGAACAACAGGAAAACAGCAACGGGGAACAACAGGAAAGCAGUGUGAACGUCACGUCCCAAGGAGAAGUUGUGUGCCACAUGUUUUCCGAAGAUAAAACGGCAAAAAGAAGACCUUAGAUCUGAGCAGCUACAGAAGACUGCCUGCCUCCUUCCACAACCACUUGAGCUGGAAGAGUUCUGCACCAAUGACACAUCUUAAAUGCAAGUAUUUGCCUAAUUCUGAAUUGAAGGGGCAGGGGAGCCUGCAGCCUCCUCUUGUGAUUUUGGUAAGGCUGGCACUGGAAGCGAUUGUUUGAGAAUGCAGAACCCGCAGAGCACAGUACUGGUGCUGUGGGCACACCCUGUCAGAACACCUUUAGCUGGAGGAGAGCAUCCACUAGUUGUGCUCCAUCCUGAGGAGAGCAGUAACCGUGCUUUGCAUCACUGCAUGACAUCGCACGCGCAAAGCGUGGUCAGCUGGGAGGUGAGUUCCAAAAACAUGCUCAGAAAAUGAGACAUGGCACUGACAGAGACACAUUCCCUCCUUAACAGUAGCUCCAGUCAGGGCAGGUGCCUGAGGAACUGAACUUCAGGUGGACUGAAGUUGUGUAGGACCUGUUGAGGGAGCACAGCAAGACCUCGGCACAGCCUUCUGUCUUGGGAAGGGCUGCGGCUCUGAAGGAGAAGUUCCCUCUCUGCUGCCUGUCCCAGUCACACUGGUAGGUACUCAGCACAGCCUGACCCAGCCCCGUGUGGAUGCAGCCACCAGAGCCCAGCUCGGGGCAUGCCUGGGAGAGCUGCUCCACCAUCACGGCCUCGCCCCCUUCUGCCCCAGCCCACGCUACAGUGCAGCCUUGCAGGCAUUCAUAAGAUUGUUCUCUUUGUAUCUUCCUCACAGAGCGCCCAGGGACAGCAGAGCAGCCACGUUGCUAGCUGCUCCAGAGAUCUGCUGGGCACGUGGAUGUGGCUGCACCAUUCAGCCAGGGAAACCUUUGGGGAAGUUCUCAGCCUGCACUUCCCACGGUGACCCGAGGUUGUUCUGUUCCUAAGUACGAAUGAGCGACGCGUUAUGGUCAUCCUGUACUCA